CUACGGGAGGCAGCAGUCGAGAGGCUUCGGCAAUGGGGGAAACCCUGACCGAGCGACGCCGCGUGCAGGAUGAAGGCCCUUGGGUUGUAAACUGCUUUUGUUGGGGAAGAAAUGCGAUCAGGUGAACAAUCUGGUCGCUUGACGGUACCCGACGAAGAAGCUCCGGCUAACUCCGUGCCAGCAGCCGCGGUAACACGGGGGGAGCAAGCGUUGUUCGGAAUCACUGGGCGUAAAGGGCGUGUAGGCGGUCAGGUAAGUGGGAUGUGAAAGCCCCCGGCUCACCCGGGGAUCUGCAUCCCAAACUGCCUGGCUUGAGUACGGGAGAGGAUGGGGGAAUUCCUGGUGUAGCGGUGAAAUGCGUAGAUAUCAGGAGGAACACCGGUGGCGAAGGCGCCUAUCUGGCCCGAUACUGACGCUGAGGCGCGAAAGCUAGGGGAGCAAACGGGAUUAGAUACCCCGGUAGC
rnacentral:rRNA from 1 species